GAAGCCGCCCCGGGCGUCCUUAAGCCAGAAGAGAGGCUGCCUGGUGUGCUUUUAUGGAAUCCUUGUCAAAACCUCCACCCCACUGCCGUCUGUGCUGAGGCGAGAUAACAGCUCGCAGCUCCGCGGGACAGUCAGUUCUGAGCGCUCAGUUUUUCCAGCUCUUGUGCCAGAGCUAUUUUAAACGGCACCUGAGUCUGGCCUCGCUUCGUGUGCUCCUUGGACCUUACUUGACUGACUUUUCUUGUUUACGCCCAUAUCUCCCCCGAGAGGUCUGCUACUCAAAGAGAGGUCUGCAAUGUGUACCAAGUGACCUGAACUCGCUACUCUGAAACAAGAUUAGUUCAACUUACCAAUGUGUAACAGGCAUCCAGAGAGUGCACGAGGCACCAGAGCACAGCUCGGCCAGUUAUGCCAAAGAGAACACCUGCGUGACCACCACCAAGGUCAACAGAAGCUCCCUCUCAGCCUUCCUCCCUUCCUCCUUCCCAAAAGCCCACUCCUCUGAUGUCUUGCCCUGUCCACGAUGGCCCCAGGAGGCUGCCCAAAGCUGCGCCCAGCUUCUCGUCACCUCUGCUAGAACCAGGAGACACUGGAAGGGACACGCCAGGCUCAGCUCUCUGCAUCUCUCCCUUCUCCUGAACCUUGGUCUUUAUUAUUUAGUCUUUCAUGACUGGAGAUCAUAGUAAUAUUUUGAAUCAAGGCACAGAUAAUAACUGAAAAUAGUAACUUCUUUUUACAACAGAAUUAUAAAUAGAUUUGUUAAUUUAUGGGUUUUCAAAUUAUUCUUUAUUCCUAGUUACCAACAUUUGGUCUCCAGUUUUGAUCUUUAUAAUUAAAUGCCUCAAUAUUGUCAUACACUUGAAAUGUGUUUACCCAGACAUGCGUGAAACAGAUAGAGGAGAGAGGGUUUGAAGGUGGUAGGUAAUGCUUUUGAGCUGUAUUUUGUAUAGAAUUAGCUUUUCUUCAGGCCAAGAAGAUAUGUAUUUAACUGUGAACUUAGCUAAGGUUCUAAUUGUGAGAUGACAUUCUCAUUUCAUCUAGGUAGUCCUAGAAAAAGAUUUAUAGCCCAGCCGGGUGUGG